GGAGGGCAUUCGUAUCCGGUGGUACGGCUGGACUUCAAAUCCAGUUGGGGACGUUAGCCGUUCCCGGGUCAGUUCGACUCUGGCUGCCCUCCGCCA
rnacentral:tRNA from 1 species